rnacentral:rRNA from 1 species
AACGAACGCUGGCGGCAUGCCUAACACAUGCAAGUCGAACGGGAUCCGGCCUUCGGGCCGGUGAGAGUGGCGGACGGGUGAGUAACGCGUGGGAACCUGCCCAUUGGUCUGGGAUAACUGCGGGAAACUGCAGCUAAUACCGGAUGUACCCGCGAGGGGAAAGAUUUAUCGCCGAUGGAGGGGCCCGCGUCAGAUUAGGUAGUUGGUGAGGUAACGGCUCACCAAGCCUACGAUCUGUAGCUGGUCUGAGAGGAUGAUCAGCCACACUGGGACUGAGAUACGGCCCAGACUCCUACGGGAGGCAGCAGUGGGGAAUAUUGGACAAUGGGGGCGAACCCUGAUCCAGCAAUGCCGCGUGAGUGAUGAAGGCCUUAGGGUUGUAAAGCUCUUUUGCCAGGGACGAUGAUGACGGUACCUGGAGAAUAAGCCCCGGCUAACUUCGUG